CAAACAUCGACGGUGUUUACACCACAGACAUUGAUUUAAGACAACAGAAGGUCACAGUACUGGGAAAUGUAGAUGCAGAUACUUUGAUCAAGAAACUGGUGAAGGCAGGGAAGCAUGCAGAGCUAUGGCCUGACCACAAGGAGAAAAAGAAAGGGAAAUCAAAGAAUAAAAAGAAGAAAGGAAAAGACAAAGAGAAACAAAGUGACCAAGAAAGCG
rnacentral:misc_RNA from 1 species